rnacentral:rRNA from 1 species
GAUGAACGCUAGCGGGAGGCCUAACACAUGCAAGCCGAGCGGUAUAGAGUAGCUUGCUACUCUAGAGAGCGGCGUACGGGUGCGGAACACGUGUGCAACCUGCCUUUAUCUGGGAGAUAGCCUUUCGAAAGGAAGAUUAAUACCCCAUAAUAUAUGACUCGGCAUCGGAUUAUAUUGAAAGCUCCGGCGGAUAGAGAUGGGCACGCGCAAGAUUAGAUAGUUGGUGAGGUAACGGCUCACCAAGUCAGUGAUCGUUUAGGGGGCCUGAGAGGGUGAUCCCCACACUGGUACUGAGACACGGACCAGACUCCUACGGGAGGCAGCAGUGAGGAAUAUUGGACAAUGGGUGAAAGCCUGAUCCAGCCAUCCCGCGUGAAGGAUUAAGGACCUAUGGUUUGUAAACUUCUUUUGUACAGGGAUAAACCUCUCCACGUGUGGAGAGCUGAAGGUACUGUAC